rnacentral:rRNA from 1 species
UACGUAGGGUGCGAGCGUUGUCCGGAAUUAUUGGGCGUAAAGGGCUCGUAGGCGGUUUGUCGCGUCGGGAGUGAAAACCUCGGGCUUAACUCGGGGCUUGCUUUCGAUACGGGCAGACUAGAGGUAUGCAGGGGAGAACGGAAUUCCUGGUGUAGCGGUGAAAUGACGCAGAUAUCAGGAGGAACACCGGUGGCGAAGGCGGCCCGCUGGGCAGGAAGGCCCCCUCACGGGGGCCGGCUGACGCUGAGGCGCGACAGCGUGGGGAGCAAACAGG